GGGUGCGAUCAUACCAGCGUUAAUGCAUCGGAUCCCAUCAGAACUCCGCAGUUAAGCGCGCUUGGGCUAGAGUAGUACUGGGAUGGGUGACCUC
rnacentral:rRNA from 1 species